rnacentral:rRNA from 1 species
AACGUAGGAGACAAACGUUAUCCGGAGUUACUGGGCGUAAAGGGCGCGCAGGCGGCUUAUUUUGUCAGGCGUGAAAGCCCCGGGCUUAACCUGGGAACUGCGUUUGAUACGGAUGGGCUAGAGUUCGGGAGAGGAGCGUGGAAUUCCCAGUGUAGAGGUGAAAUUCGUAGAUAUUGGGAAGAACACCGGUGGCGAAGGCGGCGCUCUGGACCGAGACUGACGCUGAGGCGCGAAAGCGUGGGGAGCAAACAGG